UUAUUUGAAACAGGAUACAACCUCAGCCAUCGGGUAAAUAAGGGCAAUUAAAACAAAGUGGGCCUAAAAGCAGCCACCUUUUAAAAAGCGUCAAAGCUUGAUUUAUCUAGCCCGGAAUCUCUAAAAUCCCCCCCAACCCCUCAUCACUACUGAACUAUUUUAUACUAUUAUAAAAACUAUUAUGCUAGAACUAGUAACAAGAAGUUAUCCUUCUCCAUAAUGUAAAUAUAAACCAAAACGGACCCCCCAUUGGUAAUUAACGUAAGUACAAGAUUCAUAGCAACACAUGACCAGAGAACCCUAUGACCAACUCCCACGUUACCCUGACACUAGAACAUUACAGGAAAGAUUAAAAGAGGAAGAAGGAACUCGGCAAAUUUUAGCCCCGCCUGUUUACCAAAAACAUCGCCUCUUGACUUAAAUAUAAGAGGUCCAGCCUGCCCAGUGACAAAAUUCAACGGCCGCGGUAUACUAACCGUGCGAAGGUAGCAUAAUCACUUGUUCUUUAAAUAGGGACUAGUAUCAACGGCAUCACGAGGGCUAUACUGUCUCCUCCCUCCAAUCAGUGAAACUGAUCCCCCCGUGAAGAAGCGGGGAUUUGACU
rnacentral:rRNA from 1 species